rnacentral:rRNA from 1 species
UACGUAGGGUGCGAGCGUUGUCCGGAAUUAUUGGGCGUAAAGAGCUCGUAGGCGGUGUGUCACGUCGGCCGUGAAAACCUGCAGCUUAACUGUGGGCGUGCGGUCGAUACGGGCAUCACUGGAGUUCGGCAGGGGAGACUGGAAUUCCUGGUGUAGCGGUGAAAUGCGCAGAUAUCAGGAGGAACACCGGUGGCGAAGGCGGGUCUCUGGGACGUGACUGACGCUGAGACGCGAAAGCGUGGGGAGCAAACAGG